UUAUUUAUUCCUACGAGUAGAAAAUGUAUUUUCAGGAAUUUGAUAAAUAAAACUGAUCGAUUAUAGCGGGAAAGGUCUUUGGAAGGAGAGGAAACGAAGGGUAGGAGAUGUCCGGGGGAGUUUGGGAGAGAUAGAGACGCAUUUGGACGCAACCCAGACGCAUUCGAAAUGGUUCGAAGGGCGCUUGCGCCUUCGAAGGUAUUGGGGUGGCGUAGUUGACUACCUCGGGAGUUGUCGGUAGGCGAUACGAGGAUGGCUGUCGCCCUCGGCGACAAACGCGAUGCGAAACUGGCCGAACGCGGCGAGCGGUAUAAUAUCGCGUUGGUGCUCGAUAGAGGAGAGCCCGAUAGCACCCGAACGUCGAAGGUUUCGACGCGUACACGGUCUGCAAUUACCUUUGCAUCCACAACAAGUGGCCGGUUGGGCGAUAUCAUUGUUCAUCGGUAGCGGCACCUUCGCCGUGUCGACGCCUUUGCUCGAACCAUUUGGCUUGCGUCCUCUUCUUUCGAUCUUCCUGGCCACCAUCUUCUUCGUUCACCUGCUUUUUCAUCUCGCUGUUCUUCUUCUCGAUCCGGCUGAUCCGAGAGUAAGAGCGAGACCAACGAAUCUCGUAGUGCCUGAAUUCGAUCGUAAGAAACAUCCUCACGUUAUCGAGAACGGUCGGUGUCAUCUCUGUAACAUUACAACCAGCGGUGACAGAACGAAACAUUGUUCGAUCUGCAACAAGUGCGUAGUACGAUUCGAUCAUCACUGCAAGUGGUUGAACAAUUGCAUAGGUGCUAGGAAUUACCCUUUAUUCUUAGCCUGCCUGAUAUCGGCUAUACUGGCUUCUCUCUCAGUGGUAGCCUUAUCCAUCGCCGAGUUAUUCCUCUUCAACGUCCAUCGAGAAGUUUGCCGCUCGAAUGCGACGAUGGAGAACGUUACUAGUUUACCUUCGACCGUUUUCCCAAUACAACAACCACCCGGUACCGGCACGCUUCUUGUCAUCCUGACGUUAGGCAUACUCUCGGCAGUAGCGGCCAUUCUCUUGAUACAUCUCUGUUUCUUCCAUGGUUACAUAGCCUAUCUCGGCUUAACCACUUACGAGUACGUCAGGAAUAAGAGAGAAAGAAAAUUGGAGGUCGGUAAAACUAACUUAACACCGAAUACCACGACCUGUCCCUCCUUUUGCGCUAGAGUCAAUGUACCCUCGAGAUAUCGUUUCUGUGAUUCACGCGUAGACGCCUCGAUGGAGGUCGUCUCGCGUGAAAGAAACGGUACGAAGGAAUAUCCGGAGUAUGGGAUCGAUCGACCAGAGGAUAUGCCUUCGGGACGAGAUCGAAAAAACAACUUUCGUCUCUGCUUCACUUACGAGACCAAUUCUAACGGUGCUUCGAUCGAGCUAUCCUCUCGAUCUACUCUUGGCGAGGACAACGAUGAAAAGCAUCGUAACAAUUCUUCUUCUUGGACCGGAAACGUCGCAAUUGCCGUCGCCGAAUCGCCAGAUUUCAAAUCGUCCACCCCUUCGCCCGUCUCUUGCUGUUUCUCCAUCGUAAAUCCGAUCUCUUCGGCGAGACUCGAACGUAAUAAGCAAACUCGAUCGAGGAAGUGUCCCAAGGAUAAUACAGAGACUGCUGGUACUAGUAUUACAUCUAGGGAAAGACGGACAUGUGGUACGAUCGGAAGAAUAAGAACUUUUCUUCGAACGCGUUUCAAAAAGAACUCUCGUCAACGAUCUAUUAACGCGGAAACUGCGGAUAAAACGAAAAGAAGGAACAGAGUAGCACCCUCCGUCGAUCGCGAAGAAGGCAACGUGGCUGAAACGAGCGUAUCAACGUUCGAAAAUCGACUCGAAAAUGAAAACCAUGCGAGAGAGGAAUCUUCUUCUGUUUCGUCAUCUCGUCCUCCCAGUAAAUUACCGCCUUUGGAUCUAAGAACAGCCAGAAUUUCGUCGAUCGACGAGAUCGUUACCGAUGAAAUCGGUCCUGAUCUGAUACCUGUGCCUCCUUCAACAGUGACGGCGAUUGUAACAUCGCCAACGGUAGUACCACCGCCGAUGAGAACGAUACCAUCUAUCUCCAAGAGGAAUCAAUCUCAUCUUCGAGCUCGAAGAUCCUCCCUUCGGAAAAGGCCAAGAUUUAAAAUGGGUCCUCGGCUUGCUCAAUCCGCUCAAUUAUCGCCUAUUCCAGAAUCAGAAUUCUCCAAACCGGCUUCUCCGCGUUCUCCACCUCAAUCAAAUCAUUUUGCCUUUCCGCCGUUACAAAAUUGAUCGACGUUUACAUAAACCGUGAUAAAAAAAGAUUAGUAGAAAGAUCUUGAGGAUUUAAAUGAAAUAUCGUCGAAAAAAGAGAGAUGAAUCUGAAAAAAAUUACGCUUUCGCGUUUAUAGCGGCAGAGAAACGCGACUUUUGUAAUACUUCUAUAUCUACGUAGAACUCGCGCACUCAAUGGCGAAGCCAUUGUGUUAUCUGUUUUUUGAAAAGCUUGAUGAUGGACGAUAUCGUACAUAGGUAAUAUCGUACUCGAAAGAAACUCGGAUUUUCUUACGGGAAUUUUUUUGGAGAAAUAAUCGCAGAGAUUUGUGUGCUUUUCCUCGCGAAUCGAUCUGCUGCGAAGCCAUACGCUUUAGGAUUCUUCGAUGAUAUGCGCACACGCGUCGUGUCUACAUAAGUAAUAUCGAGAGCUUUCGAUCACCACGUGAAAAACAAUGAUUGUUCGUUCUCUACUUAUUAUCGCAUAAAAUCGAAUAUUCCCGCGUGAUUCUUUUUUUGUCUUGUUUUCAACUUUAUCGUCCAAUGUAAAAAGCUUGUUUAAAUAGAAAGAGUAAGAUCAUCGAUCGCUAUUGAUUGUCAGGGUUGCUUGCGUCAAGGUUGCUAGAUGCGACAGUUUUUUCUUAUUGUAAUCGUACCGACAUGGAAAUUAGAUUUUAGAAAAGAAAAGUAUAAGUUAGAUAUUUUGAAAAUUAUUAAUACGAGCGAUAGCUCUCUGAUAAAUUAUUGAUAAAUUAUUAAUAAAUGCGUAGAGAUGAUAUUUUGAAAUCUGUAAAAUCAAAUUAACCUAGAGUAAAAUAACCGAGAUUUUAGUACGCACGAUUUUAAUAACUUCGUAUUUUAAUAGAAACGUAGGAAAUGGCUAAAAGUUACGAUACGACUGUGAUCUUACUCGUUCGAAUUCAAAUAUUCGAAUAUAUAAACGUGCUUUUCGUAUUUCUAUUUGCAUAGUACGAUAUACAUGCAUACACAUAUAUGUAUAUAUAUUUUCAAAAGUUACAUGAAUUUGAUAUAAAAUUAUAAAUAUCGUAAAAUUAACGAGAAUCGUGUAUAAAUCGUUAAGCAACUUCUCGUCGUCAAGUCUUAAUCCCAGGCUAUUUCAAUUUUAUAUUUCCAUUUUUUACGAAUUUCUAAAAUAACGUUAAAAUAAUGAUACUUUGCGUACAAUUCAAACAUAAUGCGCCUUUCACAAUAAAUUUUCACCGCCGUAAAAGUCCAAUAUUUUUCGACACGUUUUUUCAAUCUCGAAGAGAUUAAAGUUCAACAUUUUGCAACGAACGCGCGACAAUGAUCGAUCGAUCGAUCCAUUGAUCUUACAGAACGUUACUGUCCGACGUUUAGAUAAUAUUUUGAUACAGAAAGUGGCACAGGCUGGUACAUGCUAGCAAAAAAGGAGAAGAUAGAGAAAAAGUGGGAAGACAUAAACUUGUCCGAUUACCAUCAACGAACAUAUUAUAUACUUGCUAAAGUUCCUUCCGAAGCAUGUAUUAAAACGAAAUCAAGCGCAACAUUAUCGUUCUGCGACACGCAAACUUUGGACGGUGUGCCCGUUUGUUGCCUUUCUUACAAGGCUCUAUAGAAUAUCGGUUAUAAGCAGCAUACAUGAUCUAGAUUUCGAUGAAUAUGAGCGAGAACGAUGGAAGUUCGACAAAACCCGAGAAGAUAAAUGUUUGGAAGGAUGUCCUUGGCUCUCCGAGAUACGUUGUUGCACCGAUGGUCGAUGCAAGUGAGUUGGCAUGGAGACUGCUUUCUCGACGUCACGGGGC